UGAAAUUAAUAUUAACAAUAAUACAGUGGUACCUCGGGUUAAGUACUUAAUUUGUUCCGGAGGUCUGUUCUUAACCAGAAACUGUUCUUAACCUGAAGCACCAGUUUAGCUAAUGGGGCCUCCUGCUUCUGCCACGCCGCCGGAGCACGAUUUCUGUUCUCAUCCUGAAGCAAAGUUCUUAACCUGAAGCACUAUUUCUGGGUUGGCAGUCUGUAACCUGAAGCGUAUGUAACCUGAGGUACCACUGUAAAUCCCAUUGGGGGGGAAAUGGUGCCUAGACAUGUUGUUGCGCUAAUUGUAACCUAGGUUUAAGGUGCCAUUUGACAAUGGGCUUAUAUGAGUUUCUAACCCUGGUCUAGACGUAACUGACACUUCGGUCCUCCCUCAAAAGCCACCUACGAACAGAGGAUCAAUGAAGCCAUGUGGGAAGGCUUUUAUCCACUAGAGCAGGCAUUAGAACGUACGACUUUUCGACAGGAGGCAUUCCAGAACUGCUUUGCUUGCUCUGGAACAGCCUUGACCAACAUGUUAAAAAAAGAUACCUGUACCCCUUUUCCCCAGGGCGCAUGCCUACAGGCUGGGGGAUCUUUGGCCCUUGUUUUAGCCGGCAGCGAAUUAGAUGGUCUGACUUAGCAAAAGGCAGAUUUGUCUCUCCUCGUGACAAGCAGCAUCCCUAGAGUAGAAGCUCGCUACUUCAAUGUACAGUGGUGCCCCGCAAGACGAAUGCCUCGCAAGACAAAAAACUCGCUAGACAAAAGGGUUUUGCGUUUUUUGAGCUGCUUCGCAAGACGAAUUUCCCUAUGGGCUUGCUUCGCAAGACGAAAAACGAAAAUGUCUUGCAAGUUUGUUUCCUUUUUUCUUAACACCGUUAAUACAGUUGCGACUUGACUUCGAGGAGCAACUCAUAGAACGUGGUGUGGUAGCCUUUUUUGAGGUUUUUGAAGACUUUGGUGAUUUUUGAAGCUUUUCCAAAACUUCUUUUAAACUUUUAAAACUUUUUUGAGGGUUUUUGGAUUUUGGGUUGGGGUGUUUGGAAUUCAAGGACUUGGUGUUGGGGAGGGGUUUGCAAGAAUCUGGAAGCUUGUGUGGUUUUUUUCUGCAUUUUUAUGAUUUUCUGUGACCAUUGGGCCACUCUGCUGUUUUUUAAAAAAAAUUCUGGAUUUGAAUUUCUGUGUGGUGGGUGGCUGGGGGAACAGCUGAGGAGGGGUUUUCAAGAAUCUGGAAGCUUGUGUGGUUUUUUUCUGCAUUUU
rnacentral:lncRNA from 1 species